UUUUUAUUAGUAUAAAUUUAGUAUAGUUGUUUUCCAAACAAAAAGUUUAAUAAAGAUUAAAUAAAUAC
rnacentral:tRNA from 1 species